rnacentral:rRNA from 1 species
UUACGGGAGGCAGCAGUGAGGAAUAUUGGGCAAUGGGCGGAAGCCUGACCCAGCAACGCCGCGUGGAGGAAGACGGCCUUCGGGUUGUAAACUCCUUUUACGGGGGAAGAGGAAGGACGGUACCCCGAGAAUAAGUCACGGCUAACUACGUGCCAGCAGCCGCGGUAAUACGUAGGUGACAAGCGUUAUCCGGAAUUACUGGGCGUAAAGCGCACGCAGGCGGCGCAUUAAGUCUGACGUGAAAUCUCCCGGCUUAACUGGGAGGGGUCGUUGGAAACUGAUGUGCUUGAGGCGGUGAGAGGGGUGUAGAAUUCCCGGUGUAGUGGUGGAAUGCGUAGAUAUCGGGAGGAAUACCAGUGGCGAAAGCGGCACCCUGGCACUAGCCUGACGCUCAUGUGCGAAGGCGUGGGGAGCGAACGGGAUUAGAUACCCCUGUAGUCA